GGCUCAGUAACACCCCUUCAACCUACCCUGUAGACACGGAUAACCCCGGGAAACUGGGACCAAUCCGUGAUAGGUCACUUCAUCUGGAAGGAGAGGUGGUCCAAAGGGGAAUCGUGGGCUUCCACUUUUCUCGCUACAGGAUGGGACUGCGGCCGAUCAGGCUGUUGGCGGGGUAAUGGCCCACCAAACCUGUAACCGGUACGGGCCUUGAGAGAGGUGGCCCGGAGAUGGACACUGAGACAAGGGUCCAGGUCCUACGGGGCGCAGCAGGCGCGAAACCUUCGCAAUGCGCGAAAGCGUGACGAGGUUAAUCCGAGUGGCUUCCGCUGAGGAAGUCUUUUGCCGACUGUAAAAAGGUCGGAGAAUAAGGGGAGGGCAAGUCUGGUGUCAGCCGCCGCGGUAAUACCAGCUCCUCGAGUGGUCGGGGCGAUUAUUGGGCCUAAAGCAUCCGUAGCCUGUUCCGUAGGUCUCCUGCAAAAUCCAGUCGCUCAACGAUUGGCCCGCAGGAGAUACCGCGGGACUAGGAGGCGGGAGAGGUGGACGGUACUCCACGUGUAGGGGUAAAAUCCUUUGAUCCCGUGGAAGA
rnacentral:rRNA from 1 species